rnacentral:rRNA from 1 species
GACGAACGCUGGCGGCGUGCCUAACACAUGCAAGUCGAGCGAAUGAAGUUCCUUCGGGAAUGGAUUUAGCGGCGGACGGGUGAGUAACACGUGUGCAACCUGCCUCAUAGAGGGGAAGAGCCUUCCGAAAGGGAGAUUAAUACCGCAUAAGAUUGUAGUACCGCAUGAUACAGCAAUUAAAGGAGCAAUCCGCUAUGAGAUGGGCCCGCGGCGCAUUAGCUAGUUGGUGAGGUAACGGCUCACCAAGGCGACGAUGCGUAGCCGACCUGAGAGGGUGAUCGGCCACAUUGGGACUGAGACACGGCCCAGACUCCUACGGGAGGCAGCAGUGGGGAAUAUUGCACAAUGGGGGAAACCCUGAUGCAGCAACGCCGCGUGAGUGAUGACGGCCUUCGGGUUGUAAAGCUCUGUCUUCAGGGACGAUAAUGACGGUACCUGAGGAGGAAGCCACGGCUAACUACGUGCCAGCAGCCGCAGUAA